GCUAAUAAGAGAGAUAGUGGACUAUGGUGGGCGAGUGCAGAGUGUAGAGAAUGCAGACUUGGAAUCCAAGUGCUACCCUUGUUGCCUAUCACUGAGACAUUGUUCUCUGAUGCUGAUUAUGUGAAGGAGCUUGUGGAAUGGACACUUCCCUCUUUAAGUAGUGAGGGGUGGAAGGGAAUGACCUAUGCCUUGCAAGGAGUUUAUGAUAAGCAAACAGCAUUGCAGAAUAUAAGAACGUUGAAAGGUUUUGAUGAUGGAAACUCUUACACUAAUCUCUUGUGGUGGAUUCACAGCAGAUAAGAACUCAUGAUACACAUAAGUUUGAACAAAUAAAAUGUUUCAAUUCAAUAAUUGAGGUUGCAGCUACAUAUGCAUGGAACCUUGAAUCUCAUAUCAGUUAUGUUAGUUUGUUAUUAUGGAUAUUUUUAAACUUGUUCUGGAAAAUAAAAUAUUUUAUAUAUAGACUUUGCUCCUUGUUACAUUGAAGUUUAACUCUUGUUUAAGAUUUUUAAUAUGGUCUAUAACAUCUUUAGACCGAAUAGAAAAGAGAUCAUGUUGAAGAUAAAAAAAAUAAAAGCAUUUACUUAACUUUAUCAUUUAUAUGAAGGCAUGUUUAAGGUGGUCUCAAAUGCAUCAACCUUUUAGAGAACUUUAAGAGACUAUUUGAAGUCUUUUUUAAGGUAUUAUAACAAUGUUGUGUAUAGAAAAUCUUGAAAAGUUUGAAUUCUUGUGUAUGAAAAAGCUUGAAGCAGUUUCGAAUUUUAACACGAAGGUAUAAGAUUGUUUCAUGGCAUGUGAUGGGGAUAAGAUCAGAAAGGACUGUGUAUAUUGAAGGGGAAUUUUUAUUUUUUUUUCUAUAUUUGAUAAAUCAUCUUUAUAGAUAUUAUUAAGAAAUUAUUUCUCGAGUUAGGACAGAUGGUCAAAUAAAUCCAUUUUCAUAAUUAUAAUUCUCGAACUAUUAACGUUAUUAUAAGUAAAGUUAAGUCACAAUUCGUUUUCGUCACAAAUAUAUCAAUUUUAUUUUUUUAAUACAUAUAUAACUUUUACUUAUAAUAGCAGUUCCUCUUCAUAAAAUAUUUUCAAAAUAUAAUUUACUUUUUAAAUUACAUGAUUAAUUCAUUUAUUAAAAAAAUUCUAAUUACUUCAUGCAAAAAUAUUUUUUGUGAAAAAAUCUUAAUGUAUGUUUCUCUUUGUAUAAAUUUCCAAUCAUCAAAUUGAAUAAAGUUCAAAGUUCCGAAAAAGAGAAACAAAAGGCUUUCAUAAUUGAAUAAAGUUCAAAUAUGCACUUACUUGUUUUUUAUUCCAAAAACAGAAACAAAAGGCUUUCAUUGUACUAAUAAAUAUUUUUAUAUGAUUUCCUAAGCCAAGUUAUAUGUUAUGUUAUAUAAUAAAACGAUGGUUUUUAAUAUAUAAGCACCUAAAAGUAAUUUUAUAAUAGUAAUACUAUUCCACUUAAAUACUUUAUUAUUAAAGUGAAAAAGUAUAUAAAAAAAUAUUCAGAAUUUAUUUUAAAAGAAUAAUUGUUCUUUAAAUUUUUUUUCUUUUGUCUUUUUUUUUUAACUUUUUGAAUUUUCGUCAUCGACCAAAGUUCAUUAUCGAACUUCUGACAACAAAUACUACAAAAAUGUCUAAUUAGAAUCUUAUAUCUAGAGUAAGUUCAACUUUACUCAUUCUUUUUUAAAUCGAUUUUUAGUUUUUAGGUUUUAGUAUUUUACAUAUUUUGCUGGUAGUGUUUCAUGACAAUUACAAAAUCUAUUAUCUUUAUAAAAUGUUUAGAAAAAAAAAAAACUUUGAUAGAUAUAAAUUUUAUUUUAUUUUUACAAAAAGAAGUUUCUUUAUAUGAAAUGUAAUUAAGAGCCAACAAUAAAAGAAAAUAAUUUUGUUUGCAUCAUUAAAUAAGUGAAAAUUGAUAGAAAAUAAAAUCAUGAUAAAGAUAUCACAACUACUUUUUUCUAUCCCAUUAUCAAUUUAAAAUAUCAAAUAUUACUUUUAUCUUGUUAACAUAUUUAGUUUUUAUGUUUUAAGUUAUUGGGUUUUGUUCGUUUGACCCAACUUUCCUUUUCUGUUUUAGUUAGGUUUUAUUUUUUUUUAUAUAUACACCACGUAUUUUACUCUCUAAUACACAAGUAAAUAAAAGUUUCUUUUGUAUUUUCUUUUCUCAGUCAUUGUCUCUUUUUCAUUUGCAAUUAGGGUUCAUCAGAACCUCUCUUUUUCCAUUGCGAUUUCGUGUGAUUACAUGCAUUCCAUUUGAUGCACCACAUCAGACAAAGAAUAUUCAUCUUCAUUAACAGUAAUAUAUCUAUCUAUACAUGAAUUAUAUAUUCACUAAAAUUGAAAUGAGGAAUUUAUUUAUUAUCUCCAAUAAAAAUAUCUAAAAGACCUUCUUCAACCAUAUUGUCCGUCCUUUUUAUAAAAUAUAUGAACCAAUACUAUUCCACAUUGAAUCCGAUAACUAAUGCUUAAUUGAUUUGGUAUGGUAACAAUAUACAUCCAUUGAGAUCACAAUUGUAGAUCUAGAUUUUACAAAAUUUUAACAUUAGAAUAUACUAAUAUAACAUAAAAUAUAAUUUUUCUAUCUUAAAAACAUAUUUUUAAUAAUAAAAUACAAAUUAUUAAAAUAAAAUCCUAAUAUUAAAGUGAACAUAACAUAUAUGUUCUCAAGAGAUUAGGUAUAACUUAAAUUCGAUUAUACAAUAAUUUAAAACAUAACAUAUGUGUUAUAGUGUGUUAUGUUUUAGUAAAGUAGAGUUAGAUGAUAAUUUAUUAUGGCUCAAUCAAUUAACAGAAGUUAUUCGAACAUGGCACAUGUAAACAUUAAUCGGAGGUAUUUAAAAAAGAAAAAAAAAAAGAAAGACAUUAGUGAAGAAUGCAAUGAAAAAGUUUUGGUUCCAUCGUUGGAAUUUCAUGUGCCUUGGAAAUGAACACAUGCUCUGCCUCGUAAGGGUAGGAAACUUAUGCUAUAAAAUAUAAUCAAUCAUUCAGACCUCCAACUUACUCUACAACUAAAUCCAAAAUUAAUAAACAAAGGUAAACCUCGAUUAUUAUUAAUAAGGAAAGAAUAUUUACUUUUAAACAUAUAUUUUAUUUAUCUUAUUUCGUUUAAUGUAGGUUUAGAGUCUCAGACAAUAUCAUUAAACAAAUACCAUGUGAUGAUGACAUAAUUGACAUAAUUUUUAUAAAAUCAAAUGUUCCUUAACACAAAAUUAUUAAAGUAAUUACAGUAUAAAAUGUUAUCUAAAAUCGGAAAUUAACUUGAUGAUUCAGUUUAAUGUUAGAAAUUUACAACUUUUUUCUAUAAAUGUACACAACAAUCAACACAAAUAAAUAUAUUAAAUAAUAUUUAUUAUUUUCAUCUACCUCAAAUCAAACUUUAACUUAGAUAUCAAAAUACUUUUUAUACUCCACCUAUCCAGAUUAUUAGUAAGGACCAAUUGUAACACAAGGAGAUAAAGGAAGAACAUUUUACCUUCACCAUUAUUACUUUUGAAUAUAUAUUUUUUAUUUAUCUUACUUUAUUUAAUAAUCUUAAAAAAUUGACUUUAAUUAAUCUUUGAAUUUUGGUUACACUAUCAAAUAAUGCUUAAUUUUAAGAGAAGGAUAUUUAAGAAAUAUUAAAAGAUUAAUAAAAUUAAUGUAGUAUGUAAAAUUAGUUUUUUUAUGCGUAUAAAUGAGAAUGGAAGUACUAAUUCGAAAGUAGUAUUAUUUUUCGUUUUCUAUGAAUAAUUUUUUAUUAUUUAAAAUUUUCCAAAAUAGCUUAUUAAUUUUAAUUAUACGCAUGCUAAAAAAUAAAUAAUGUAAUAAACGAGAGAUAUGAAUGAACUAUAACAAGUUAUAAUCAUUUUAAUAUAAAGAAAGAUAUCAAUUGUUUUUUUUAAUGUACGUGUUACAAGAAAAUCAUGAAAUAAAAACUAAUUUCUAGAAACCAAAAUAAUUAGUUGCAAUAGUAACUAAAUUAGAUACCAUUUUAGAAACUAAAAAGAAAUUUGAUUUCUAAAUUAGUUUCUAUUAUUGUUAAAUAGUUUCUAAAUUGGUAUCUAAUUAGCAACCAAGGUUUUAGAAACCAAAUUUAGAAACUAAAUAAUUGGUAUCUAAAACCUUAGUUGUUAAUUAGAUACCAAUUUAGAAACUAUUUAACAAUAAUACAAAAUAAUAGAAACUAAUUUAGAAACUAAUUUUUUUUUAGUUUUUAAAAUGGUCUUUAUUUUAGUUCCUAUUGUAACUAAUUAUUUUGGUCUCUAAAAAUUGGUUUCUAUUUCAUGAUUUUCUUGUAGUGGUACAAUUUCUUAAAAUUUUGAGUUUCCAAUUAAUCCAGUCUUAUAAAAAAACUGGUAAAAUAAAUAAAUAUAUAUAUAAGAGGUAUAAAGUAUUAAUGAAAGUUUCAUUUUUUUACUACUGAAUAUUUAUACUCAAAACAUAAAAAUAACUAAUAAUCAAAACAAUCAAUUUUAAAAUGUCUACAACAAUAUAACAUACUUCACAAACAUUAUCUUAUGAAACAUAAUUACGAGGAAGAGUCACAUUAAAUAAAAGUGAACAAUGACAUGGUUCCAUUAUAUAUGCUAAUGAAGACCAACUAAUUAACAUAUUGAUUGACAUUAUCUUUAUAAAAUUCUUCACCUUGAAAAACGCAUAUGUUGUAUUGUUUUCACAAGGUCCAUGUGACAACAUAUAAUAGGAUCUUCUAUUUAUUUUCUUAAACUUUUUUCUAGAGAAGUGUUGACACAAAUGUAUUUUUGGAUCACACGGUGUAGAACACUAUAAGCAUUAAUCCACCUAUAAUAUGAUUUCCUAAUAUCAUAAGUUGAAACACAUGAAAGAAAAAAUACAUGUUUUGUUGAUUCCUAUAACUUUGGACAAAGGGCAUACAAAAUCCUCCUCUCCUUGGACAAUGUCCAUCCUUCUCAUAUUGUAUUUGUUCAGCAGCAAGAUCCAUAAUAGUCUCCAAAUGAAAGGUUUAACCUUUGGUUGUGUCUUUUCCACACAAACCAACAAACCUAAACACAUCCUCUUCUUGAAAUGUUCCAAUUUUUUUUAUCUAUUUAUAUGUUGUUUUUAUAUAAUAUAUUAUUCUGGGAAUUAACAUUAGCAUUAAGAUUAUUUCUAUUAGAGGGAAAUAUGUUUAUUGAAAGGUAGUAAUUAGUGCAAUCUUUAAUGUUAGAUUGAGGAGAUCCAUUUGUUAUCUUCAUAAUGACAUUGUACUAUUGUUGAUUUUUUUUGUCUAUUUUCUUUGUAACUCUCUUAGGUCUAUUAUGGCUCUCUCCACUUUUGUUGCCUUCGUUUUUCUCACCCUCAUACACAUUUCUCCAAACAUGGAGUUUGUUCCUUAUUUUCAUGUGUAUAUGCAAAGACCUAAUGUUAUCUUUCAACAAAUUACCUUUUGUCCCAAUACUGUGCAUAAGUGUUUUGUUUCUAAGUUUAUCAUAUUGUUGGACUUUCCCAUCUUCAUACUUAUUUAUUAUAUUUCUGUUAAAGACACUCUUGCUAAUUUGGUCCAAUUUGACCUAGAUUGAUAACAUAAUUACACAAUAUUUAUGUUUGGACCAUACAGAAUGGUUCCAUUAUCGUAAAUGUUUUGUUUUGUUCGGCUCAAUUCAUUAGUCCACUUAAGACCUCCACAUUCUUGUUUUGGCAUUCCCAAUGCCAUCUAAACACACUUACACUAGCUUCCUCCUCACUCCUUGUAGGUUGUUGUGUUAUAUCUCUUAUCUUUGUACUUUCCUUAGACGUAACACUAUGGUCUAAAGGUUUUUGUGCUAAUUGUACAAUUGAUUCUUCCUGGUUUUUUACCUUGUUCCUCUUCCCACAUUGCAUGUUAUGUAUAUUUUCCUCCAUUGUCCAUUCCACCACUAGUACAAAAAUAAGAAAAGAGCUCUCCUUAUUUAAUGCGGUUCAGCGCUUAAACGCAUUCGUAAAAAACGCGGUGGCAUUUUUGAAAUUAUUUUGAUUUACAAAUGCGGUUAUUUAAAUAACCGCAUUUGUAAAUCAAGAGCUUCCAUUUACAAAUGCGGCUAAAAGUAAUAGCCGCAUUUGUAAAUCGAAGCGCUUGAUUUACAAAUGCGGUUAUUCAAAUAGCCGCAUUUGUAAAUAAAAAAGCUUGAUUUACAAAUGCGGUUUUUACGUUUAGCCGCAUUUGUAAAUGGUUUUUACCCUAAAAAUUUUACGCGCUCAACAAUUUCGUUCAUUCUCUGUUUGUGCUCAUAUCUGUUCUUCGUUUUCUCUGGUUGCGAAGUUCUGCAUUUUCAAAGGUACGUAACUGCAUUGCCCCUCAUUCUCUUGUUUCCAUUGCCCCUAACAACUGCAUUGAACUCCAAUGGCUUUCGCUUUCCAUAUUGCUUUCGUUUUUAAUGGGUUUCGCUCUACAUUUUGAAGGUGUAUUGUUCCAUUGCUUCCGUCGCUGUCGCAUUUCGCUCUCGCCGCUCCGCCGCCGUUGCCGUGUUUCCUCUUCUCCCCUUCCACUCUUCACCAACAACGUGCCCCUAAAACCCUAGCUCAUUCAGAAGAAUAUACAAAUGCGGCUAUUUCAAAUAACCGCAUUCGUAAAUCGCAUUUACAAAUGUGGCUCUAUAGCCGCAUUUGUAAAUGUAAAAUAGCCGCAUUUGAUUAGCAUUUUUGCGCUAGUGCACCCAAUUAUCUUUAGUAUCAUACCAUUGUGACUUAGUUUCCACACUUAUCUUGCUUGCCAUAGAUGAAUCUUCAAACUCCAUUGGUUCAUACCCUAUGAUCUAUCAUUUGAUACAAUUUGGUCAUCAUCCUCCAUGGUGAUAACUCCACUAAAGCUUUUUUUCUAUGAGAAACUUGAUAUAGGAUUGAUGUCCUAAUGAAUACCCCUCAACUCUAAUUUUAUGGGGAAUUUAUUGUGUCCUUCUAUAUAAAAGAAUGUACAUCGUAUUCUUACCACUUUUUUUAUGCAUUCAACACUCUUGCUAAAAAAAAGGAAUAUCAUAAGGCUAAUCACAUACUAAUUUAUUACCUAAUAACAAUUAUGAGUUUUACUUGUAAAUAUUAUUGAACAUGCCCCCAAUUAUACCCCUUUACUAAAAAACAUGUCAUUUAUCUUAUUCUCUUGUCCAAAAAUCACAAGUUGGAUUGUCCUUAAAAUAAGAUAAUAUAAUUCCUCUCAUUUUCCACAAAUCCACUCCAAUACUUGGUAGUUUAAUUUAUCAAACAUUGUUAGGUCUUUGAUUCUUCUCGUCCAACUUUCUGUAAGUCAUUUUUCUUCUUCCAUCUCUGAAUUUAUUAUCGUAUCAUUACAUUUCUCAACAUGGUCUUGAAGUCUCAUCCUUGACUUCCAUUUUUGUGUAGUAGCUUUUGACUUCACCACUUUCACAUAUGCAAGUUCGUCAAUCAUGUGUUGUCUUCCAUGUUCCAUUAUACUUUGCUUUUUCCCCUUAUUUUGGCGCAUAUGAAGUUGUUGUCUUUCAAUUUGUAUUAUUUGUACGCUUUUAUCCUUAAGGAUGUUAAAAAAAUUCACAUUCUCAAUCAUGAGAUAAAGUUCUUUUUCCAUUUUCCUUUCAUCUCUCACAACCUUAAACCUAAAAAAUUCAAAUCUUUGUCCUACUUUAUUCUUUCACCUAGAUAUGAAGAUCUCUCAAACCUCAUCUCAAGAAUCUUCCACAAAUCUUCUUCAUUGUAAGCGCCUACGAACCUAUAAAAGAAGAAGGUGGACAUGUUUUCUCAAACUCACCAUAUCUCAAAAAUAUUUUUCAUGAAUCUUUUCACUCUAAGCACUUGAGAACUUAUAAAACAAGAAGGUAAAGAUGUUGUUUCAGUAAUUCUCUCAACUUUUCUUUUCGCUCGACCUCGCUCAUAAUCGAUUACUCCCCACAUUUUUAUUAUCUUAUUUAUAAUUAAUGUGAAAUAUUUAAAAAAAUAGUAUAUCCCAUCAUAUCCUUAAUAUUAGUGGAUUUACCAUGUGAAUAACAUAAUAAGUGAUUUAAAAUAUAUUUAAAUAUUUUCUUAAAAUUUGAGAUUGAAUUUAGUUUAACUCCAUAAUAAUAACAUGUAAAAUGUUUAAUACUCUAUAUCUAGUUAUCUUCAUGAGAAUUUGUAUUUAAAAUCUUCAUCUUAUAAAUUUAUGUGAAAUUUAAUUAAAUUUAAAUUCAUGUGUUGAGAUAAUGUUAAAAUCUUUUCUAUACAUUGUUUAUUGUUGUUCAAAUUACAUACAAAUGUUUAAUUUUGCAAUCACUAUGUCGAUAAAUCUUAUCCUGAAUUUGAGAGAGGGUAUUACAUAUCCAACUUAGACUGCUAUAUAACAAAUAUAUUACUUACAAGAUAAUAAUUAUAUAUCUAAUAAACUAAUGGAUUGAAUGAGAUUUAAACUUGAUCUCUAAGAUUUCUUUAUCUUACUAAUUAUUUGAAACCUCUUUAUUGAUUCAUCAAUAAUCUACCCACAAAAUUGUAGUCUUUGUAAACUUGACAAAUUUUUAAUCGUGUUAAAAAAUGUGAUAAUGUGCUUAUCAUAUGCUAAUGUCAAACUUGACCUAUACUUUAUAUAUGAUUAUCAUACAUCUAGUUGUUCUUUCAUCUUCUUUAUUAUAUCUAUUAAUUGUUUUUCUCUCUUUAUCUUGCUUGUUUCCACUUAUAGACUCUAAAAUGACAUUCAGCAUUAGUAACGAUUAAAAGAAUAAGAAAUAAUAAGAUCAACACAUUAUUUUAUUUUUAAUGAAACUAUUUUAAUAAUAAACACUGCACAGUGGCAGCCGGGCAAGAUUAUAAAUUUGGGAAGUGUUGUGUUAACUUAACACUUCAAGAUUUAUUAUCCCUUCUUGCAACUACUUUUAUUAAUAUUUCAAUUAAAUAACCUAAUUCAAUAUUUUAUUAGUAUAUAGAAUUAUUAAAUGGUUGUAAAUGCAUGUUUGAAAUAGUUUUUUUCUCUAAGGGAAAAAAUAUUUUAACACCAAUUUUUAUAAAUAAUUUCAUAUCAAAACUGCGAUUAAAAUAAUAAAUUAAUAAAUUAAGUUAAAAGUAUUUCUUUCUUAACGUUCAUCUUGUAAUUGUAUAUAUUACUAUUUUAUUGGAAUACAGUAUUUUAUUAGAAAAAUCAGUUAAAAGUAAUGUAUUUAAUGAAUAAGAUAUUUUUCCUUAACUAAGACAUAAAUUAAAUUUUAAUAAAUAGUUAUUAUUAAGAGUUGUUAGGAAGUGGUAGAAGUUUUAAGUAUCACUCUUCUUUUCUUCAUUAUACCUUAGAAUUUCUCGUUUAUAAAAGUCAACCAAUAUGCCAAACAAACUCUUAUCUCUUUGCUUAUAAAGUGGCUUAGGCUGCGGCACCACACAACACUGCAAGAAGCAUUCACAAACAACAAUGUCUUCUUCAUCUUCUUUUCUCUUCCCUCAAACUCAAUCCACAGUUCUUCCAGACCCUUCAACCUACUUCUCCUCUAACCUUCUUUCAUCUCCACUUCCCACAAACUCUUUCUUCCAAAACUAUGUUAUCCCAAACGGGUCACAACCUGAGUACAUUCACCCUUACCUCAUCAAAAGUACAAACUCCUCACUAUCAGCCUCAUACCCUCUUCUCCUCUUCACCACAGCACUCUUGUACCAAGCUUUUGUGCCAGAUCUCACCAUCUCUUCCACUCAAACACACUCACAGCAACAAAACCGUGUAAUCUCAUCAUUCAGUGACCUUGGUGUCACUUUGGAUAUUCCCUCCUCCAACCUCAGGUUCUUUCUCUCAAGAGGAAGCCCUUUUAUAACUGCUUCCGUCACUUCUUCAACAUCUCUUUCUAUCACAACACUGUACACCAUACUCUCUUUGUCUUCCAACAAUGAGAACAACACCAAGUACACCCUUAAGCUUAACAACACUCAGACAUGGCUCAUAUACACCUCCUCCCCCAUCCAUUUCAACCAUAAUGCUUCAGAGGCUACGUCCAAGCCAUUUUCUGGCAUCAUUCGUGUAGCAGUGCUGCCAAAUCCUAACUAUGAGACGAUUCUUGACAAGUACAGCUCUUGUUACCCUUUGUUGGGUGAUGCAACACUAGAGGAGCCUUCCCGUGUGGUGUAUCAAUGGCAAAAGGAAGGGUCUGGGGAUUUGCUCAUGCUGGCUCACCCUCUUCAUGUUAAGCUUUUAUCAAAUAAUAAUAACGGGAAUGUUACUUUGCUGAGUGAUUUUAAGUACAGAAGCAUUGAUGGUGAUCUUGUUGGUGUUGUUGGAGAUUCAUGGAUAUUGCAAACGGAUCGUAUUCCUGUGACAUGGUAUUCUAACAACGGAGUGGAAACAAAUUCAUAUGAUGAGAUUGUCUCAGCGCUUGUUAAGGACGUGCAAGCGCUUAAUUCUUCAGCAAUAGGAACAACUUCAUCUUAUUUUUAUGGAAAGCGCGUUGGAAGGGCCGCAAGGUUGGCAUUGAUAGCGGAAGAAGUGUCGUUUUCAAAGGUUGUUCCCACGGUUACGGAUUUUCUUAAAGAGGCCAUUGAGCCUUGGUUAGAUGGAACUUUCGAAGGGAACGGUUUUCUAUAUGAAAAUAAAUGGGGUGGACUUGUAACCAAACUGGGGUCAACGGAUUCAAGCGCUGAUUUUGGGUUUGGAGUUUACAAUGAUCACCAUUACCAUUUGGGGUACUUUCUAUAUGGAAUUGCGGUUCUUGCAAAGAUUGAUCCCGAGUGGGGACAAAAAUACAAGCCACAAGUUUAUUCACUUGUGACAGAUUUUAUGAACUUGGGUCAAAGGUAUAACAGAAAUUAUCCACGUCUAAGGUGUUUUGACCUUUAUACGUUACAUUCUUGGGCUGCGGGAGUGACUGAAUUUGAAGAUGGUAGGAAUCAAGAAAGCACGAGUGAAGCUGUGAAUGCAUACUAUUCAGCAGCGUUGGUGGGUCUGGCAUAUGGUGACUCGAGUCUUGUUGCCACUGGGUCAACGUUGGUGGCGUUGGAAAUUCUAGCUGCACAAACUUGGUGGCAUGUGAAAGUGGAAGACAACUUGUACGAAGAAGAAUUUGCAAAAGACAAUAGAAUAGUGGGGAUUGUGUGGGCUAAUAAGAGGGAUAGUAAGUUAUGGUGGGCCGGUGCAGACUGUAGAGAAUGCAGACUUGGAAUCCAAGUGCUACCCUUGUUGCCUAUCACUGAGACACUGUUCUCUGAUGCUGAUUAUGUGAAGGAGCUUGUGGAAUGGACAUUUCCCUCUUUAAGUAGUGAGGGGUGGAAGGGAAUGACCUAUGCCUUGCAAGGAGUUUAUGAUAAGCAAACAG
rnacentral:lncRNA from 1 species